UUCUUUAAGAUCGGUAUUGUCUUCAUUGAUAAAAAUGUAUUUAUAUUGAUAUAUGUUGUUGUAUGUUGUAAAUACUUAUUAUUUCUUCAAUCUCUUUCAUUUAUUACUUUUUUUUUUAAAUUUCAUUGACUAAGGUCAUUUAUCUGUCAUUAUUAAUAGCGUAACAAAUUUUAACAAAAAAAUUUAAUAAGCAAGUAAGUAACCUUUAUUACGAAUGAAAUUGCUAUUAAUGAAAUUAUUAGACCGAUCUAGAGGUACGUAAUUGUAACCCAAAUUUAAAUGUGGCAUUAUUCUAAAACAUAUAUUACUUUGUCCUCUCAGUAUCAAAAUUUAUUCAUGUGGUUUUAUAUUUAACUGAGAGAACUCACUUAUAUUGCUGUUUAUGAUUAUGUUUCAUAAAAUCGAUUUAUUUCACCAAAUCUCGCUGUUCGAAAAAAUUGAUUUUGUUUUAUCUACUUUAAAAAUUGAACUUUUGUUUUUAAGCCAAGAAACACGUAAAGAAAUGAAAAUAAAAAAAACAAACUCUUAGAGUACAUCAAUAAAUCUAUUAUUGUUCAUUAUUAUACAUUUCAUCUGAGUGUGAUGCAGCGCCGUGAAUACCAGAUUGACGUCAGUGUUAGAUUAAAAAACUUAGAAACAGCAACAUAACACGGGUAUAUAUCAUGGAAGUAAACUCAACACAGAUUGAAAUGGAGUGGUGGAAUACAGUUCAAAUGUCAUACAAAAAACUGAAAUAUCAAUUCAGAUCGAAAGGUUCACCUGAGUCGUAACAAAACUGCAAAAAGAAGUGUAAAAUCCAACACGUUAUAUUAUGUCAACUAGAGAUGACAGUUAAAUAAGUUGCGAUUAACUGAACUAAUAUGCAAAAUAAAAAAAGGGAAAAAAAAGUUACCGAAAGUACUAUUGUAUAUCAGUAGUGAACUCAGAAUUUUGAAAUCAAUAACGUAUUGAUAUAAUGAAUAUUUCAUCAACCAUGACAUUUCCAGACUUAUUUGUGAGGUUGCAACAUUGGUAAACUACUACUGUAACCUUAACCCAUUAUCAAAUGGUUAGAAUAUUUACAGAUGAACAGUUAUUUCCCUUGGAAUUAAUUUAAGAACAGUUCUUUCUCUGAGGAUUUGCAUUUCAAAGUUAAGAAGAAGAACCAAGAAGCGUCAUGAAUAAAAUGGAAGAAAUGAGGUGUAGUCAAGGUCACAACAAUUCCUAAAGAGAAAGAAAGAAGGUUCUAGGAUUAUUUAAAAAAGAAGUAAUUAAACCAAAUGAUUUGGUUUUAGAAUUUCUCUUUAUACUGCAAAAAUAAGACAAUGUUAUGUAUAGUCGUCCAAGUGCCUUACAGCCUUUUUAAAUAAAUUAAAUCCAGACAUGUGUUAGUCAUUUAAUCUGAACAGACUGUGUAAUCAAUAUUUCAAGAAUGCUUAUGUUUGAUAUAACGAAUGAAACUGCUGUCCUUUCACUUAAAAUAGUAAGUGAAGUUAUUUGUAAAACGUGUAGAUGGAAUACACAAAGUUCUACAAUUGUUUAAAGAUUACCUUGGUCUAAUUUUGUUCUCUUGAACAAACGGUAGUGUUGAAAACAUUGAAAUUCAUUUAUACACUAACAUACAUUUUUUUCUCACUGGUACAAACAAGUUUGAGUUAUGUAAGAAGGUAUUUUAAGAUGAACUUCGUUUCCUUUUUAAAAAGUCCUGUUCUGAUAAGAUCACAACAUCAGUCUACUUUAAAUUCUCAGUUAAAAACAAAUGAAAACUACUUGAUGAGGUCGCAGUGGCUUCCAAAUUACUUAUGUUUUAACAAUGACCUCUUUUUUUAUAAUUGAAUUACUUGGUUUUAUAGUGUGUACAUGUUUCUUUAAAAUAUACUAUAAUCCCCCUGAGCAUUUAAAUCAAUUACUUUGCUUUUUUUGUAAUUCAUUUUAUUGUAUAGCUCAAAUUUUGGGCACCAUGAUUGGUUAAUAAAAUAUCUUAUAAUUAUAAUAUUUA